rnacentral:rRNA from 1 species
UACAGAGGGGGCAAGCGUUAUUCGGAAUUAUUGGGCGUAAAGGGCGCGUAGGCGGCUUUGCAAGUGGCGGGUGAAAUCCCUCGGCUUAACCGAGGAACUGCCUGCCAGACUGUGAGGCUUGAGACCGGGAGAGGUGUGUGGAAUUCCCAGUGUAGCGGUGAAAUGCGUAGAUAUUGGGAGGAACACCAGUGGCGAAGGCGGCUCACUGGACCGGAACUGACGCUGAGGCGCGAAAGCGUGGGGAGCAAACAGG